rnacentral:rRNA from 1 species
GUGAACGCUGGCGGUGCGCCUAAAACAUGCAAGUCGAACGGGUUUAGACCCGUGGCGAACGGCUGCGUAACACGUGGGUACCUGCCCCGAACUCAGGGAUAACCCGCCGAAAGGCGGGCUAAUACCGGAUGCCCUCGCAAGAGGAAAGAUUUUUCGGUUCGGGAGGGGCCUGCGGCCUAUCAGCUUGUUGGUAAGGUAACGGCUUACCAAGGCUAUGACGGGUAGCUGGAUUGAGAGAUCGACCAGCCAGAAUGGGACUGAGACACGGCCCAUACUCCUACGGGAGGCAGCAGUUAGGAAUCUUCCGCAAUGGGCGAAAGCCUGACGGAGCGACACCGCGUGAAGGAUGAAGCCCUUAACUGGGUGUAAACUUCUGUUGUGAGGGACGAAAUUUUUGACGGUACCUCACGAGAAAGCACCGGCUAAUUCUGU